rnacentral:rRNA from 1 species
UACGUAGGGUGCGAGCGUUAAUCGGAAUUACUGGGCGUAAAGCGUGCGUAGGCGGUUCGUUAAGUCAGAUGUGAAAGCCCUGGGCUCAACCUGGGAACUGCAUUUGAAACUGGCGGACUAGAGUUUAGUAGAGGGGAGUGGAAUUUCAGGUGUAGCGGUGAAAUGCGUAGAUAUCUGAAGGAACACCAGUGGCGAAGGCGACUCACUGGGCCGCUAUCGACGCUGAGGAGCGAAAGCUAGGGGAGCAAACAGG